rnacentral:rRNA from 1 species
AGAGUUUGAUCAUGGCUCAGGAUGAACGCUAGCGGCAGGCCUAACACAUGCAAGUCGAGGGGUAUUAGGAGCUUGCUCCUAAGAGACCGGCGCACGGGUGCGUAACGCGUAUGCAAUCUACCUUGUACAGGGGAAUAGCCCAGAGAAAUUUGGAUUAAUGCCCCAUAGUAUAAUUGAAUCGCAUGGUUUAAUUAUUAAAGUUCCAACGGUACAAGAUGAGCAUGCGUCCCAUUAGUUAGUUGGUAAGGUAACGGCUUACCAAGACAAUGAUGGGUAGGGGUCCUGAGAGGGAGAUCCCCCACACUGGUACUGAGACACGGACCAGACUCCUACGGGAGGCAGCAGUGAGGAAUAUUGGUCAAUGGGCGCAAGCCUGAACCAGCCAUGCCGCGUGCAGGAAGACGGUCCUAUGGAUUGUAAACUGCUUUUAUACAGGAAGAAACAACUCUACGUGUAGAGUCUUGACGGUACUUUAGGAAUAAGGAUCGGCUAACUCCGUGCCAGCAGCCGCGGUAAUACGGAGGAUCCAAGCGUUAUCCGGAAUCAUUGGGUUUAAAGGGUCCGUAGGCGGUCUUAUAAGUCAGUGGUGAAAUCUCCUAGCUCAACUAGGAAACUGCCAUUGAUACUGUAAGACUUGAAUUUUUGUGAAGUAACUAGAAUAUGUAGUGUAGCGGUGAAAUGCUUAGAUAUUACAUGGAAUACCAAUUGCGAAGGCAGGUUACUAACAAACGAUUGACGCUGAUGGACGAAAGCGUGGGGAGCGAACAGGAUUAGAUACCCUGGUAGUCCACGCCGUAAACGAUGGAUACUAGCUGUUCGGAGCAAU